rnacentral:lncRNA from 1 species
CCGCCGCCCAGCCCGGCCCGGCCCAGCCCGGCCCGCACCGUAGCGCCCUCGGCCCCGGCUCUGGCCCCGCUCCGGGUGCGGGCACUGCUCAGCCUGUCCCGCAGCUCUGCCCGGUGGGGAGGGCGAGGCGGCCGCCCGCAGCCCCACGCAGUCCUCACUCCCUGCCGGCACCCGCACUCACUCACGGUACCACCGCCGCCACCUGACUGCGAGGGUGGUACCCGGGAGGGUCUGGGGGACCUGAGGCCACAGCAGCGCUGCCCCAGCCUGAGGGGUUAUUGGUGACACCCAGCAAACACCGUCCGUAUGCACAGCGUGGGGUCAGCUGUGCAUGUGGGUGAUGUUUGAGAGCAGCAGCGGUGCCCGAAGAAGGACAGCUGUCGGGUAGUUCUACACGCACCCAUUUAAAGAGAUGCAUAAUAAUAUCGGUAUCUAAAAUUGAGCAUAACUUAAUAAAGCUUUUUACUUUAGAUACCAUUAACUAAAAGGUUGCUAGCGCAGUCCAUGCAAUGCUUGCUCUGUAGAAUCAGCCUGACAACUGAAUCAAUAAGCGGUGCUCGCCUCAAAUUAAAUCAGCGCUGAUCAAUGUAACGUUACUUUAUCUGAGCACAGCUCUGCUGCGCACUGGAUCUGUUCUGUGCAAUAUUGAUUGGAGGCUCUCAAGGACUGGGGCCGCACAGCAGUGGCGCUCCGUAUUUACACGCUUUCAAGCACCCAAAGCUGAAAACAAGUUUUGUGUGCACCGUGUGCCUACCUCCCAAAUAGUGCUUUCCCACUGCCAGCAGCAGCAGCGAGGGGCAGCAGGCGAAUUUGUAGCCGAUUAGAAGCGCAGCUUUAAUUCUUUUUUUGUUGUUGUUGUUCCUAAAGCAAGAGACGUUUCAAUGUUCUAAUUGAGGAGCUGCGAUGUCACAGUCCAGAUCCAAUUUUCCCAGCUCCAGGCAUGUCCACUGCCCUUUGAAAACACCCUUUAAUGCAUUCUCACAUAAAUUAUUGCCCGACACAGGAAGCUGCGAUACCUUUCCCCAUUCAUCGGUAUCUUUGCAUGCUCUGAAAGAAAAGGAAGCAUUCCACUAAAAAAUGACAAAUCAGAACACCUAUCCCCAGUGUCUGGAAGCACUUGUCAGAAUUUAUUCUUUUUCGGGAUGAAAAGAUAGCAGUCUAUCAAUGGCACCCUAUUCUCUGCAAGGAGCCAAUUCUCCUAAAGUGGCCCACAGCGGCCCGAGUCCUCCAUCUGAGAAAAGCAGAAGCAUGUUUGGAAUUAAAAGGGGGGGGCGGGAGCGGGGGGGAUCAAUUCUGUCAUCAUAUUUAGGCUUCAAGAGAUCUCAGCGGGCCCAGGGAGCCUUUCACAGCAGCGAGGCCGCUGAAUGAGGGCAUAAUCUCUUUACAGUUUUUUCCUCCUCCUCUCAAAGUGGCUGGGAUCCUUUUUGUGAGCCCUCCUGCACGUGAAUGGUGUGGCUAAUAAGCCUAUUAAUGAGGUUCCACAGAGGACUGUGAAUAGGUAAAUAAGCCCCAAUCUGUUGAGGUUCAGGAGCAAGGGCAGUAAAGCCAUCACGAACUAAAGGUGACAGUUUGAACUGGAAUAGGAACAACAGCUCCAGGUUUCAGGCGAAAGAAAGGACAGACAAGGCGCGCAUUCAGGCUCCUUCUACCCCCUACCGAGUUCUAUUUUCUUUCCCAUUCUUCCUCCUUUAUAAAAUGUCUUGAGUAGUCACCCCUUUUUUCAAAAGCUCUUGAGACGUCCUUUUUCAUCCUGGCAAUGAUACAUCAAUAGGGAGGAAGGAAAAUGAGGACACCAAUGCUCCUUUGCGCCGCUACUUUCAAAAGCGCCAGCGGUGCCGUCCCCGCGCACACGGAGGCGGGGGAGGAGAAAGCAAGUUAAAUUGAAUCUUUCAGCGCUGCCAGCCCUUUGUCACCGCUGUCAGCUGGGCCGCGGGUCCCCUCCGCAGGCAGCGGCGGUGCGGGGCAGCGCGGCGCUCCCAGCUGCGGGGCACGGCCGGGCCCGGAGAGCCGGGGAUGCUCCCACCCGGCGCGGCCCCGCGGUGGGAACGUGCCGGGCUCCGUGCUGCCGGAGCCCACCUCUCGGAGGGAGCUGAAGCAGAAGACAAAGAACUUGUGUCUGUUGAGAGGUGAAGUGGGGCAGGCGACUAAUUCCGUGGAGCAACGUGGGAAAAGCCGCCUUAGAAAGAACCGCAAGGCAAAGCUGCUGAGCGCUCCUCUGCUCUGCUCUUUACAGCCUCUCUGAGAGGUAAAGUCAGAAAAUGUGCUCCUCCACGGAGCCGCAGUGAAGCGCAACGCACCGCUCCGCGCAGCGCGGGGAGCUGCGGGGAGCACUCCUCCAAUACCAGCCCGCCCUCCAGGCGCUGGGCUUGCUAACGUGCCACGUCUCUAUCGGAUGGAAAUAGAAAUAGAACAGAGAACAAAGAAAAAGGGAAUCUAACCAAGAAAAAAAAAUAAAAAGAAAGAAAGAGGGAAGGAAGACGAAUGAAGAAGUAAAAAAAGAAAGAAGAAGAAAAGCCCAGGCAUUAAAGCUCUAGAGGACUACAGGGAAAAGUCAUCUGCAUCCUAAUCGAGCCAUGCACACGACUGAGGGCUCAGCUACUCCACAGAGGACAAUGGGAAAGCAACAUUUCUUCCCUAUUAUUUUGGUCCUCUCUAAAAUUUCUGCUUGACCCUGCUGGAUACAAGUAAAUAUUUGGCCAAGACAUAUUUUCCUUGAAGUUCUUCUACAGCUAAGUGCCCAAACCCAAACUUUGGCAGCUAAAAUAUUUACCUGGUUUCCAAAGUAUUUCACAGAAUCACAGAAUGGCUUGGGUUGGAAGGGACCCCAAGGAUCACCAAGUUCCAAACCCCUGCCACAUGCAGGGCCACCAACCUCCAGACCUAAUGCUAGACCAGGCUGCCCAAGGCCCCAUCCAACCUGGCCUUGAACACCCCCAGGAAUGGGGCAUCCACAACCUCUCCGGGCCCUGCCCUGGUAGCAGCAAACAGGUUUUUAGGAUGCCAAAGCAAACCACUUCUGAAAGUCUGGGCUCGUAGUUCACAUUCUUUUCAAAGAGUGGUGAUGCAUGGGCACAGGCUGCUCAGGAGCACGGUGGGGUCACCAUCCCUGAAGACGUUCAAGAG